rnacentral:rRNA from 1 species
UACAGAGGGUGCAAGCGUUAUCCGGAUUUACUGGGCGUAAAGCGUUUCGUAGGCGGUUAGGAUAGUCAUACUUCAAAGACUUCGACUCAAUCGAAGGAAGGGGUGUGAUACUUCCUGACUAGAAAAAUUUCGGGGUUUUCAGAACUCUUGGUGUAGGAGUGAAAUCCGUUGAUAUCAAGAGGAAUUCCAAGGGCGUAGGCAGAAAACUAGGGAUUCUUUGACGCUGAUGAACGACAGCUAGGGUAGCGAAAGGG